CCCUUAGAUGUUCUGGGCCGCACGCGCGCUACACUGAUGCAUUCAACGAGUUUCUUCCUGGUCCGAGAGGAAUGGGUAACCUUUUGAAAGUGCAUCGUGAUAGGGAUAGACUAUUGCAAUUAUUGGUCUUCAACGAGGAAUUCCUAGUAGACGUAGUUCAUCAGACUGCAUCGAUUACGUCCCUGCCCUUUGUACACACCGCCCGUCGCUACUACCGAUUGAAUGGUUUAGUGAGAUCUCUGGAUUGACGCUGGCUAGGGGGCGACCCUUGGCCAGACUGCUCGAGAAACUGCUCAAACUUGAUCAUUUAGAGGAAGUAAAAGUCGUAACA
rnacentral:rRNA from 1 species